rnacentral:misc_RNA from 1 species
GCGCUUCCGGCGACUAUUUCCGUCAAAGGUACUUGGUGAAAAUUCUUCGAGUAACGAAGUUCUGUUGGAGCUGAUUAGGGAUGGCUCCAAAGCAGCCAAAUACAGGCCUUUCUGUGGGUCUUAACAAAGGACAUGUUGUUACUAAGAAAGAGUUGGCUCCCCGCCCUUCUGAUAGAAAAGGGAAAACCAGUAAGAGAAUACAUUUUGUUAGAAGCCUUAUCAGGGAAGUAGCUGGUUUUGCACCUUAUGAGAAGAGAAUUACUGAGCUUCUUAAAGUUGGAAAAGACAAACGUGCUCUUAAGGUAGCCAAGAGGAAGCUGGGUACUCACAAGAGAGCAAAGAAGAAGCGUGAAGAGAUGUCCAGUGUUCUCCGUAAAAUGAGGGCUACUGGAGGUGGUGAA